UCACCCGGAUGCUCUUGCGUAAAAGCGCGU
rnacentral:sRNA from 1 species